GGGGAAUAUUGCGCAAUGGGGGAAACCCUGACGCAGCAACGCCGCGUGAAGGAAGAAGGCCUUCGGGUUGUAAACUUCUUUGAUCGGGGACGAAGAUGACGGUACCCGAGGAACAAGCCACGGCUAACUACGUGCCAGCAGCCGCGGUAAUACGUAGGUGGCAAGCGUUGUCCGGAAUUACUGGGUGUAAAGGGCGUGUAGGCGGGGGAGCAAGUCAGAUGUGAAAUUCCUAGGCUUAACCUGGGCGCUGCAUCUGAAACUGUUUCUCUUGAGUGCUGGAGAGGAAAGUGGAAUUCCUAGUGUAGCGGUGAAAUGCGUAGAGAUUAGGAGGAACACCAGUGGCGAAGGCGGCUUUCUGGACAGUAACUGACGCUGAGGCGCGAAAGCGUGGGGAGCAAAC
rnacentral:rRNA from 1 species